rnacentral:rRNA from 1 species
AUAGGCCCAAGCGACUGUUUAUCAAAAACACAGGUCUCUGCUAAACCGUAAGGUGAUGUAUAGGGGCUGACGCCUGCCCGGUGCUGGAAGGUUAAGAGGAGUGGUUAGCUUCUGCGAAGCUACGAAUCGAAGCCCCAGUAAACGGCGGCCGUAACUAUAACGGUCCUAAGGUAGCGAAAUUCCUUGUCGGGUAAGUUCCGACCCGCACGAAAGGCGUAACGAUUUGGGCACUGUCUCAACGAGAGACUCGGUGAAAUCAUAGUACCUGUGAAGAUGCAGGUUACCCGCGACAGGACGGAAAGACCCCGUGGAGCUUUACUGUAGCCUGAUAUUGAAAUUCGGCA